rnacentral:rRNA from 1 species
CCUACGGGAGGCAGCAGUAGGGAAUCUUCCACAAUGGGCGAAAGCCUGAUGGAGCAACGCCGCGUGGGUGAAGAAGGUCUUCGGAUCGUAAAACCCUGUUGUUAGAGAAGCAAGUGCGUGAGAGUAACUGUUCACGUUUCGACGGUAUCUAACCAGAAAGCCACGGCUAACUACGUGCCAGCAGCCGCGGUGAUACGUAGGUGGCAAGCGUUAUCCGUAUUUAUUGGGCGUAAAGGGAACGCAGGCGGUCUUUUAAGUGUGAUGUGAAAGCGUUCGGCUUAACCGGAGUCGUGCAUUGGAAACUGGGAGACUUGAGUGCAGAAGAGGUGAGUGGAACUCCAUGUGUAGCGGUGAAAUGCGUAGAUAUAUGGAAGAACACCAGUGGCGAAAGCGGCUCUCUGGUCUGUAACUGACGCUGAGGUUCGAAAGCGUGGGUAGCAAACAGGAUUAGAUACCCCUGUAGUC